AGAGAGACAUGCGCGCAUAUCAAUAAGCGGAGGAAAAGAAACUAACUAGGAUUCCCUCAGUAACGGCGAGUGAAGCGGGAAGAGCUCAAAUUUGAAAUCUUCAAGGUUCUACCUUGACGAAUUGUAGUUUAAAGAAGUGUUUUCUGUUGGAGUUUUGGUAAAAGUUCUUUGGAAUAGGACAUCAUAGAGGGUGAGAAUCCCGUAUUUGACCAUUAUUUCCAGCUUUGUGAUACACUUUCAAAGAGUCGGAUUGUUUGGGAAUGCAGUCCAAAAUGGGUGGUAAAUUUCAUCUAAAGCUAAAUAUUGGCGAGAGACCGAUAGCGAACAAGUACCGUGAGGGAAAGAUGAAAAGAACUUUGAAAAGAGAGUUAAACAGUACGUGAAAUUGUCAAAAGGGAAGCGUUUGACACCAGUGUUGUUUUUCUGAAAAUCAAUUAAAGAACUGUUUAUGCUAAGCUGUUUAGACUUUAUCAGCUAUCUGUUUAGUUUUGAGCUUUUCUUUAAUGCACUUUUCAGUUAACAAGUCAACAUCAAUUUCUUUUGUUGUAAAAGGGUCAUUGGAAGGUGGCUUUCUUUUCGGAGAAAGUGUUUAUAGCCUUUGGCCUCUGCAAUCGGAGAGAUUGAGGUCUGCAGCGUAGAUCCUUCGGGGUUAGAUACAUUUGUGCUAAGUUAUAGCAUUUCAUAGACAACUUGUUGACUAUGAUUAGUCAUUGUAGCUUACUCGCUUAUGUUAUUUUACCUACGCUUAGGAUGUUGA
rnacentral:rRNA from 1 species